rnacentral:rRNA from 1 species
GCAAGGGAUAUUGGGCAAUGGGCGAAAGCCUGACCCAGCAACGCCGCGUGAGGGAUGAAGGCCUUCGGGUUGUAAACCUCUUUUCUCAGGGAAGAAUAAUGACGGUACCUGAGGAAUAAGUCUCGGCUAACUACGUGCCAGCAGCCGCGGUAAUACGUAGGAGGCAAGCGUUAUCCGGAAUUACUGGGCGUAAAGUGGGCGUAGGUGGCCUUUCAAGUCGGAUGUGAAAUUUCCCGGCUCAACCGGGACGGGUCAUCCGAUACUGUUGGGCUGGAGUGCAGCAGGGGGAAACGGAAUUCCCGGUGUAGUGGUGAAAUGCGUAGAUAUCGGGAGGAACACCAGAGGCGAAGGCGGUUUUCCAGGCUGUUACUGACACUGAGGCCCGAAAGCGUGGGGAGCGAACAGGAUUAGAAACCCCAGUAGUCC